UCUUUACAGGAACCCAGUGAGGUGUAAGACUUGGUCAUCUCUACUUACAGUAUGGGGAACUGAAGCCCAGAGAGAUUAAGGAACAUGACUAAGGCGGUGGCAGCUAGCAGAGGUCAUGAGCCAAUGAACCACGGCUGCUUUCUCUCCAACAGAAGACCUUUACAUGACCUUUGCAGUAUGGCCAAGAAAGGAGUCCUUGACCGUCUCUUCUUCAGAAUCUUCCCGUUGCUUGACGUUGCUGAUACUGUCACCCGGCUCUCCUUGAAGUGAGCAACACCAGCUGUGGUCUCUGAUCUCCUGAAAGCUGACAAUGAAGCCAGUGCUGACCCCUGACCCCAGGCAGAUAAUUACACUUUGAAUUAUCUACAUAAUAAAGGUAUGAAACAGAGGCACUUGUUGAUCUUGGAC
rnacentral:lncRNA from 1 species